GUAGAUAUAGUUUUAACUAAAACGCUAGAUUGUGAUUCUAGAAAUAGAGGUUAAAUCCCCCUUAUCCACC
rnacentral:tRNA from 1 species